rnacentral:piRNA from 1 species
UAUGUAGUAAUAUGGGGAUGG